UAGCAAUAGAGUAGGGCGGGGGCACAGCAGACAUGGGACCAUCAUCUGGAUUCCUAGACGUGCAACUGCAACUCACUCCCUCGCCCUGCCUCCUGCCGGGCCUAGGGAUGUAGCUGGUUCAGCAGAGCUGCCUCCUUCCCCAGAGGAAUGACACCAGCCAGGAACCGCACAGGGCUACGCAGAGACACCAGGAAACAGAGGAACGGCACCAGCCAGGAACCACACAGGGCUACGCAGAGACACCAGGAAAAAUCAAACACUUAGGCAGGAAAAAGACAUUAGGCAGAUGGAAAGCAUACAGUGCCCAUAAAUAUCAAGAACACGAAAAUGCUGCCAAUUAUCACUGCUCUUAUUCAGCAACACAUUGAAAUCCCAA
rnacentral:lncRNA from 1 species